GGGCGAGUGGUGGAAUGGCAGACACGCACGACUCAAAAUCGUGUGCCGAAAGGCAUGGGAGUUCGACUCUCCCCUCGCCCACCA
rnacentral:tRNA from 1 species